UACGUAGGUGGCAAGCGUUAUCCGGAAUUAUUGGGCGUAAAGAGCUCGUAGGCGGUUUGUCGCGUCUGUCGUGAAAGCUUGGGGCUUAACCCCAAGUCUGCGGUGGAUACGGGCAGACUAGAGGCAGGUAGGGGAGAACGGAAUUCCCGGUGUAGCGGUGAAAUGCGCAGAUAUCGGGAGGAACACCGGUGGCGAAGGCGGUUCUCUGGGCCUGUACUGACGCUGAGGAGCGAAAGCGUGGGGAGCGAACAGG
rnacentral:rRNA from 1 species